UAUCCCCUCCAUUUGGGGCUCCUUCUUCCCUUAACUCUCUAUUUUCUUACAACAUACACUUGCUUACAUUCAUGUAAUAUUAUCAUGGUUGAUAUGAUACUGACUUGAGCAUCGGAGUGCCUUCGGGGCGAUCCCCCGGGGCCCUCUAACGAGAUUUUCAUGUGGUCGCAGCCCGAGACUCGCUAACCCGCAAGAGGAACCGUCACCACAACGACGAGGACAAGAAUCUCAACUGGAUCUCGCCAAGUCUAAGGGAUGUGGCAGGGGACAAUCGCGGUUCGACGUAGUAUACCACGCUGCAAAAGUGUUGCUGAGUGUGAACCAUUAUGUGGAAAUUGUUUGUUUUGUCGGUGUGUAGGCGGAGAGUGUGUCAAUGAUAGAUGUCCUCACCCCAAGAGUCAAGAACUUGCAAAAGAUAGUGGUUUUCAAAGAGAAUCGAGUGUGAUGAACCAUCUAUAAGUCUUUUAUUUGUUAUUACACGUGAAGAGUUUUAUGAUCGAAA